UUCAACACAAUCUACAAGUUUGAUUCAAGCUUUCUUCUUUUUUUCCAAUUCAUAAUUUCAACUCAAAAUCAUAUUUCAAGAAUACACCAACAUUUGUUUUCUUACAACAAGAAGCAAAUUCAAGAAGAAAUUGACAUGAACUUGGAGAAACUCCAUCAAGUUGCAAGAGAAUUUCAAGUCAUCAAUUUCAAGCAACAUUAUAAAUUUUUCAAGUGUCUAAUUUCAAAUUCAUUCUCAAGAAUCCAAAAUUCUUCAUGCAAGCUCCAAUAUCCAUUCUCAUUCAAGAUUAAAAAAAUUAUACAUAAAAAUCAAGUUCAUUCAAGUUCCAUACAUGAUUCAUCCAAGUUUCUAUUACUACAAGAACAAGUCUUUCUUUUUUAUAAAGUUACACCAAUGCUACAAUCCUUCCUAAGUCCUAAUAGCCUUGAUUGUUUUCUUGAAUCACCAUUUCCCCCCACACCCAGCUUCUCCAUUUUGCUUCUACGCCACAAUUUACUCUUCACACCAUUUACUUUCUCCAAGCUCAUUUAUCAACAC